UGGGGAAUAUUGCACAAUGGGCGCAAGCCUGAUGCAGCCAUGCCGCGUGUGUGAAGAAGGCCUUCGGGUUGUAAAGCACUUUCAGCGAGGAGGAAGGUGGUGAGCUUAAUACGCUCAUCAAUUGACGUUACUCGCAGAAGAAGCACCGGCUAACUCCGUGCCAGCAGCCGCGGUAAUACGGAGGGUGCAAGCGUUAAUCGGAAUUACUGGGCGUAAAGCGCACGCAGGCGGUUUGUUAAGUCAGAUGUGAAAUCCCCGGGCUCAACCUGGGAACUGCAUUUGAAACUGGCAAGCUAGAGUCUCGUAGAGGGGGUAGAAUUCCAGGUGUAGCGGUGAAAUGCGUAGAGAUCUGGAGGAAUACCGGUGGCGAAGGCGGCCCCCUGGACGAAGACUGACGCUCAGGUGCGAAAGCGUGGGGAGCAAACAGAUUAGAUACCCUGGUAGUCCACGCUGUAAACGAUGUCGAUUUUGGAGGUUGUGCCCCUUGAGGCGUGGCUUCCGGAGCUAACGCGUUAAA
rnacentral:rRNA from 1 species